rnacentral:sRNA from 1 species
UGCAAAUACUGGUGAAGUCUUUAGUGGAAGAAAAAUUUCAGGUUUCCAUAUUGCCAAAUAGAGUAAAUUUCUUCUCUCUUUUUCAAAGAGGAGCCUAGUUCAGGAUUUAUAAAGUUUCUUAGUGUGUGUUUUAAAUGGCUUUACAUUUUUUUCCCUUCUUCUUUUUGACAGGAGUCUUUUAGUCCUGCUAUACAGCUGCACCUUGUACAUCAAGCUCCAAGUAAUGUUCCUCCUUACCUCUCAAAGAAUGAAUCAAACCUUGGGGACCUCUUACUGGGCUUUCUUAAAUAUUAUGCUACAGAAUUUGACUGGAAUAGUCAAAUGAUUUCAGUUCGUGAAGCCAAAGCCAUUCCAAGGCCUGAUGGUAUUGAAUGGAGAAAUAAAUACAUCUGUGUAGAAGAACCUUUUGAUGGAACAAAUACAGCCAGAGCAGUGCACGAAAAGCAGAAAUUUGAUAUGAUCAAGGAUCAAUUUUUAAAGUCAUGGCACAGAUUGAAAAACAAGAGAGAUUUGAACAGUAUA